rnacentral:rRNA from 1 species
UACGAAGGGGGCUAGCGUUGCUCGGAAUGACUGGGCGUAAAGGGCGCGUAGGCGGCUCAUACAGUCAGAUGUGAAAUUCCUGGGCUUAACCUGGGGGCUGCAUUUUGAUACGUGUGGGCUUGAGUGGGGAAGAGGGUCGUGGAAUUCCCAGUGUAGAGGUGAAAUUCGUAGAUAUUAGGAAGAACACCAGUGGCGAAGGCGGCUCACUGGCCCGGUACUGACGCUGAGGCGCGAAAAGCGUGGGGGAGCAAACAGGG